AGGUUACGACGGCCAGUGAUUAGAGUUUGAUCCUGGCUCAGGAUGAACGCUAGCGGCAGGCCUAAUACAUGCAAGUCGAACGGUAAAUGCCCCUUCGGGGGUAUGAGAGUGGCGCACGGGUGCGUAACGCGUAUGCAACCCACCCGCUGCCGGGGGAUAGCCCGGAGAAAUUCGGAUUAAUACCCCAUGAGGAGCGAGGAAGGCAUCUUCCACGUUUCAAAACUUCGGUGGCGGCGGACGGGCAUGCGUGCCAUUAGAUAGUUGGCGGGGUAACGGCCCACCAAGUCGACGAUGGCUAGGGGAUCUGAGAGGACGGUCCCCCACACUGGUACUGAGACACGGACCAGACUCCUACGGGAGGCAGCAGUAAGGGAUAUUGGUCAAUGGGGGGAACCCUGAACCAGCCAUGCCGCGUGAGGGAGGAAGGCCCUACGGGUCGUAAACCUCUUUUGCCGGGGGAUAAGGACGGGAACGUGUUCCCGUUUGAAGGUACCCGGAGAAUAAGCAUCGGCUAACUCCGUGCCAGCAGCCGCGGUAAUACGGAGGAUGCGAGCGUUAUCCGGAUUUAUUGGGUUUAAAGGGUGCGCAGGCGGGCGAUUAAGUCAGCGGUGAAAGGCUCGGGCUCAACCGGAGCAGUGCCGUUGAUACUGGUUGUCUUGAAUGCGGUCAAGGCCGGCGGAAUGUGGCGUGUAGCGGUGAAAUGCAUAGAUAUGCCACAGAACACCGAUAGCGAAGGCAGCUGGCCGGGCCUGCAUUGACGCUCAGGCACGAAAGCGUGGGGAUCGAACAGGAUUAGAUACCCUGGCAGUCCACGCUGUAAACGAUGGACACUCGUUGUCGGCGACAGACAGUCGGCGGCCAAGCGAAAGUGAUAAGUGUCCCACCUGGGGAGUACGGUCGCAAGGCUGAAACUCAAAGGAAUUGACGGGGGCCCGCACAAGCGGUGGAGCAUGUGGUUUAAUUCGAUGAUGCGCGAGGAACCUUACCCGGGUUAGAACGCACGCGACGACACAGAGAUGUGACGUCCUUCGGGACGCCUUGUGAGGUGCUGCAUGGUUGUCGUCAGCUCGUGCCGUGAGGUGUUCAGGUUU
rnacentral:rRNA from 1 species